AAAUUCUUGAUUUAGGAACCUUUCUUUCGAACUCAUCUCCGAUGAUGAUUUGCUUGGUCCUUAAACCCAUUUUCCUACGUGGGCUUUCUGGUUCACUACACCUAGUUUUGUUUCUUGUGUUGUUUGUCUCCUUUCUGUGCAUGAAACUUGGAGUAGGUGAUAGAGAAAGUUCUGAGGGGAGGUUCGACAAGAACAAGAGGGUUUUAUGUUAUAAACAGGCUUUGUUCUGUUGUUUUGGUGUUUCGUUGUUCAACCUUGUCUUGUGUUUAUU
rnacentral:misc_RNA from 1 species